rnacentral:rRNA from 1 species
CGUAGAGAAAUCGAGUCUUAAUAGGGCGUUUAGUUGCUGGGUAUAGACCCGAAACCAGGCGAUCUAUCCAUGAGCAGGUUGAAGGUUGGGUAACACUAACUGGAGGACCGAACCCACUGUCGUUGAAAAGCCAGGGGAUGACUUGUGGAUAGGGGUGAAAGGCUAAUCAAGCCUGGUGAUAGCUGGUUCUCCCCGAAAGCUAUUUAGGUAGCGCCUCGGACGAAUACCAUAGGGGGUAGAGCACUGUUUCGGCUAGGGGGUCAUCCCGACUUACCAAACCGAUGCAAACUCCGAAUACCUAUGAGUACUAUCCGGGAGACAGACUGCGGGUGCUAACGUCCGUAGUCAAGAGGAAAACAAUCCAGACCGCCAGCUAAGGCCCCAAAAUCAUAGUUAAGUGGGAAACGAUGUGGGAAGGCAUAGACAGCUAGGAGGUUGGCUUAGAAGCAGCCACCCUUUAAAGAAAGCGUAAUAGCUCACUAGUCGAGUCGGCCUGCGCGGAAGAUGUAACGGGGCUAAAACUAUGUGCCGAAGCUGCGGAUGUAUACUUUGUAUACGUGGUAGGGGAGCGUUCUGUAAGCCGAUGAAGGUGUGUUGAGAA